GGGCAGUGUGAUAUACUGGCAAUUCUUAUAGGUGUGAUACCUUCUUUGUUCUGCUUUUUUACAUCUGCAUUCCAUAUAAUCAAUAGUUUUACAAUUUCGAUACAGUCUUUAUAUUUCUUUUUAUAUGCAUGUUUAUUCGUUCUAAACUGAUCGAAAGGGUCAAUUAUACAAGCUGCAUGUAAAGGUGACUGUCCUCCUGGUUGUUC
rnacentral:lncRNA from 1 species